AGUGGGCCAAAAACAAAGAAGAGAGACGGACUCGCGACAGAAAAGCCGAUCAGCUGAUCAUUAAGGAGUUUCAUGAAGUAGCGGCAGGAGAGGGAGAGAGAAGAGGCAGUCGCUCCAUAUAUCGGUGGUUAAGCUUAACGCAGGUAGGCUUUACAAACAUUCAGAGAUGAACUUACACACUUGCUUUACUUCUCUCUGGGAUAACUUCCUCGGAGAUGAAUUGCUGGAUUGCUAGUGAGCAGCGCCGUAGCUCCGCAAACGCACAUAACGCACACUGCGUAGGGCACCAAAUGGCCGGUAGGGCACCAAAAAAAUCAGGGUCGUAAAAAAAAAAAGAAGUAAACCAUAUUAAUACUAUAAAUAUCAUAUGCAUUAAUAUGGUUAAACAAUACAAAAGCAACAUAAAACAAUUUUCCCGAGAAAAGGGGUGAAUCUGCUUUGUGCCCUGUCUCCAGUCUCCUCCUGGUGCCCCCCCCCCCUCCCAGUGGUCUGUUCUAUAAUGCCUCAAUUCGGUAUUGGUAAACACCUGUUUGAACAUGGCCUCGAAACGGCAACAGGAGUCGGGAGCGGAGAAAAGAAAGAAGAAGAGGAAGCGUGAUGAAACUCAGGCGUCGCUUGCCGGGUCAAUGCUUAAAUAUGUUCAAGGAGGAUCUCAAGGACAGGAUGAACCAUCCAGUAGUAGUGCCAUCCCUGGACAUCAACCACCAGCCAUUGUAGACCCUGCAACAAUCCCUAGCCAAGAAGAACAAGAACCAUCAACCACCAGUUCAGGUA